CCCUUAGAUGUUCUGGGCCACACGCGCGCUACACUGACAGAGCCAACGAGUUCUUCACCUUGGCCGGAAGGUCUGGGUAAUCUUGUUAAACUCUGUCGUGCUGGGGAUAGAGCAUUGCAAUUAUUGCUCUUCAACGAGGAAUGCCUAGUAAGCGCGUGUCAUCAGCACGCGUUGAUUACGUCCCUGCCCUUUGUACACACCGCCCGUCGCUACUACCGAUUGAAUGGCUCAGUGAGGCCUUCGGACUGGCUCAGGGAGGUUGGCAACGACCACCCCGAGCCGGAAAGUUCGUCAAACUCGGUCAUUUAGAGGAAGUAAAAGUCGUAACA
rnacentral:rRNA from 1 species